rnacentral:rRNA from 1 species
GGAGGGUGCAAGCGUUAUCCGGAUUUACUGGGUUUAAAGGGUGCGUAGGUGGGUUGGUAAGUCAGUGGUGAAAUACUUUCGCUUAACGAAGGAACUGCCAUUGAUACUAUCAAUCUUGAAUGUAGUGGAGGUAGGCGGAAUGCGUCAUGUAGCGGUGAAAUGCUUAGAUAUGACGCAGAACACCAAUUGCGAAGGCAGCUUGCUACACUACUAUUGACACUGAGGCACGAAAGCGUGGGGAUCAAACAGGAUUAGAUACCCUGGUAGUCCACGCCCUAAACGAKGAUUACUCGAUCUCGGCGAUACACAGUCGGGGUCUAUGUGAAAGCAUUAAGUAAUCCACCUGGGGAGUACGAUCGCAAGAUUG